rnacentral:rRNA from 1 species
UGGGGAAUUUUGGACAAUGGGCGAAAGCCUGAUCCAGCAAUGCCGCGUGUGUGAAGAAGGCCUUCGGGUUGUAAAGCACUUUUGUCCGGAAAGAAAUCCUCUGGGUUAAUACCUCGGGGGGAUGACGGUACCGGAAGAAUAAGCACCGGCUAACUACGUGCCAGCAGCCGCGGUAAUACGUAGGGUGCAAGCGUUAAUCGGAAUUACUGGGCGUAAAGCGUGCGCAGGCGGUUUUGUAAGACGGAUGUGAAAUCCCCGGGCUUAACCUGGGAACUGCAUUCGUGACUGCAAGGCUAGAGUAUGGCAGAGGGGGGUAGAAUUCCACGUGUAGCAGUGAAAUGCGUAGAGAUGUGGAGGAAUACCGAUGGCGAAGGCAGCCCCCUGGGCCAAGUACUGACGCUCAUGCACGAAAGCGUGGGGAGCAAACAGGAUUAGAUACCCUGGUAGUCCACGCCCUAAACGAUGUCAACUAGUUGUUGGGGGAUUCAUUUCCUUAGUAACGUAGCUAACGCGUGAAGUUGACCGCCUGGGGAGUACGGUCGCAAGAUUAAAACUCAAAGGAAUUGACGGGGU